rnacentral:rRNA from 1 species
AUGAACGCUAGCUACAGGCUUAACACAUGCAAGUCGAGGGGCAGCAUGGUCUUAGCUUGCUAAGGCCGAUGGCGACCGGCGCACGGGUGAGUAACACGUAUCCAACCUGCCGUCUACUCUUGGACAGCCUUCUGAAAGGAAGAUUAAUACAAGAUGGCAUCAUGAGUCCGCAUGUUCACAUGAUUAAAGGUAUUCCGGUAGACGAUGGGGAUGCGUUCCAUUAGAUAGUAGGCGGGGUAACGGCCCACCUAGUCUUCGAUGGAUAGGGGUUCUGAGAGGAAGGUCCCCCACAUUGGAACUGAGACACGGUCCAAACUCCUACGGGAGGCAGCAGUGAGGAAUAUUGGUCAAUGGGCGAGAGCCUGAACCAGCCAAGUAGCGUGAAGGAUGACUGCCCUAUGGGUUGUAAACUUCUUUUAUAAAGGAAUAAAGUCGGGUAUGGAUACCCGUUUGCAUGUACUUUAUGAAUAAGGAUCGGCUAACUCCGUGCCAGCAGCCGCGGUAAUACGGAGGAUCCGAGCGUUAUCCGGAUUUAUUGGGUUUAAAGGGAGCGUAGAUGGAUGUUUAAGUCAGUUGUGAAAGUUUGCGGCUCAACCGUAAAAUUGCAGUUGAUACUGGAUAUCUUGAGUGCAGUUGAGGCAGGCGGAAUUCGUGGUGUAGCGGUGAAAUGCUUAGAUAUCACGAAGAACUCCGAUUGCGAAGGCAGCCUGCUAAGCUGCAACUGACAUUGAGGCUCGAAAGUGUGGGUAUCAAACAGGAUUAGAUACCCUGGUAGUCCAUGCCGUAAACGAUGAUUACUAGGUGUUGGAGGAUUGACCCCUUCAGUGCCGCAGUUAACACAAUAAGUAAUCCACCUGGGGAGUACGACCGCAAGGUUGAAACUCAAAGGAAUUGACGGGGGCCCGCACAAGCGGAGGAACAUGUGGUUUAAUUCGAUGAUACGCGAGGAACCUUACCCGGGCUUAAAUUGCAGAUGAAUUACGGUGAAAGCCGUAAGCCGCAAGGCAUCUGUGAAGGUGCUGCAUGGUUGUCGUCAGCUCGUGCCGUGAGGUGUCGGCUUAAGUGCCAUAACGAGCGCAACCCUUGUUGUCAGUUACUAACAGGUUCCGCUGAGGACUCUGACAAGACUGCCAUCGUAAGAUGUGAGGAAGGUGGGGAUGACGUCAAGUCAUCAUGCCCCUUAUGUCUUGGGCUACACACGUACUACAAUGGCUAUAACAAAGAGAAGCGAGACCGCGAGGUGGAGCAAAACUCAAAAAAGUAGUCUCAGUUCGGAUUGUAGACUGAAAUUCGUCUACAUGAAGCUGGAAUUGCUAGUAAUGGCAGGUCAGCAUACUGCCGUGAAUACGUUCCCGGGCCUUGUACACACCGCCCGUCACACCAUGGGAGUGGGUUGCAAAAGAAGUAGGUAGCUUAACCUUCGGGAGGGCGCUUACCACUUUGUGAUUCAUGACUGGGGUG